GGCUUAACACAUGCAAGUCGAGGGGCAGCAUGUGGUGCUGCAACCAUGAUGGCGACCGGCGCACGGGUGAGUAACGCGUAUCCAACCUGGCCCUUAGUAGGGGAUAGCCCGGCGAAAGUCGGAUUAAUGCCCUAUGUUCUUCAAUGCGGGCAUCUAAGUUGAAGCAAAGAUUGAUCGCUAAGGGAUGGGGAUGCGUCUGAUUAGGUAGUCGGCGGGGUAACGGCCCACCGAGCCGUCGAUCAGUAGGGGUUCUGAGAGGAAGGUCCCCCACAUUGGUACUGAGACACGGACCAAACUCCUACGGGAGGCAGCAGUGAGGAAUAUUGGGCAAGUACGGGGGAAACCCUGACCCAGCGACGCCGCGUGAAGGAAGAAGGCUUUCGGGUUGUAAACUUCUUUACCAGGGACGAAGGACGUGACGGUACCUGGAGAAAAAGCCACGGCUAACUACGUGCCAGCAGCAGC
rnacentral:rRNA from 1 species